AAUCAACGCUGGCGGCGUGCCUAACACGUGCAAGUCGAACGCGAGAGGGGCUUCGGCCCUGAUUGAGUGGCAAACGGGUGAGUAACGCGUGGGUGACCUACCUUCGAGUGGGGGAUAACGUUCCGAAAGGGACGCUAAUACCGCAUAACAUCCUGUCUUUGGACAGAUGGAGAUCAAAGCCGGGGAUCGUAAGACCUGGCGCUUGAGGAGGGGCCCGCGUCCGAUUAGCUAGUUGGUGGGGUAAGGCUCACCAAGGCAACGAUCGGUAGCCGGCCUGAGAGGGCGGACGGCCACACUGGGACUGAGACACGGCCCAGACUCCUACGGGAGGCAGCAGUGGGGAAUUGUUCGCAAUGGGCGCAAGCCUGACGACGCAACGCCGCGUGAAGGAUGAAGGUCUUCGGAUUGUAAACUUCUGUUGAUCGGGACGAACAGCCAAGGAUCAAUACCCCUUUGGCCCUGACGGUACCGAUUGAGGAAGCCCC
rnacentral:rRNA from 1 species